GAUGAAGAACGCAGUGAAAUGCGAUACUUGGUGUGAAUUGCAGAAUCCCGCGAAUCAUCGAGUUUUUGAACGCAAGUUGCGCCCGAAGCCAUUCGGCCGAGGGCACGUCUGCCUGGGUGUCACGCAUCGUUGCCCCCCCAAACUCCGGUUCGGGCAGGGCGGAAGUUGGCCUCCCGUGCGUGCCUGCGCGCGCGGUUAGCCCAAAAGCGAGUCCUCGGCGACGAGCGCCACGACAAUCGGUGGUUUUUUUACCCUCGUUCCUCGUCGUGCGUGCCCCGUCGCCCGAACGCGCUCUUGCGACCCUUACGCGUCGCCUCGGCGGCGCUCCCAACGCGACCCCAGGUCAGGCGGGACUACCCGCUGAGUUUAAGCAUAUCAAUAAGCGGAGGA
rnacentral:misc_RNA from 1 species